UAAGGAUAUCAAAAUAGAAGAGCCGCCUGAAGACAAAAAGACGAAGGAGAAAUAUCUAGGAUAUUCUCCUCAAAUACAAUGAAGCCUAUUGCAAGUUCGCCGACGAAGCCUGGAAAUCGAAAAGGUUGCCAAGUAUUACAGGAUCUGGAGGAGUUCAAAUUAAAUAUAGAACAGAAUGCUACAGUCAGAUCGGGAAAUUACGAGUUGACGCAUGCGCAAUGACUCAGAGAAAGGACCAGCUUGAUAGCCUCGAACUGACAGACGACUAUAUAUUACAUUCGGAUAUAUUUGUUAUAAGUCCUGAUGCACUUGGUUGUACCCAGGAAGUUACAGUAUACUUGCCACUGUUAGACUUUAAGCCUGAAGAAGGGGCGGAGAUAUAUCUUAACUUGAAAUCUGAAGGGAAAUGGCAAGAAAUAAAAAAUCCUGAAAUUGUACAGGACGAUGAGAAGAAUUUUCUCGUGUUCAACACGAUGUCAUGUGAAGCAUUUACUGCCAUGUCUUACUCCCCACCCGAUUCAAUUCCGGUAACUCCCAAGGGAGCUAACUAUGUCUGUCCAGACAAUGGUAAACUGGAAGUUAUAAUACCUGAAAACUGCUUCAACUCUGAUAUUACUAUAGCAAUCAAGGUUGAACAAUUUAACAGAACUGAAGAAGACAAUAUGCUUGCUGGUAUUGUGAAUGCCUCUGAUGUUGUACAUCUCGCCUACUUGAGUAAAGGACCAGAGAUGAGCAAGCCUGUCACCAUCAAUCUGCCCUUAUAUGGUGAUGAGGAUGACAAAGGACACGGAACUGGUUGUAGCUAGAUGUAAUGAGACUGAAGUUCAGAUUCUGGACAAAAAACAGAUCGCGGUUAAAGCCACUGACCGAGAGGAUGUCUACAGUGUUGAUAUAAAAGGUUUCUGGAGUGUUGCUAUUUUACGGAUAAAGAGAAUAUUUUUGAACAUGCGAGAGACCAUAAAGAGAGAA
rnacentral:misc_RNA from 1 species